AGUGAACGCUGGCGAUAGGCCUAACACAUGCAAGUCGAACGGCAGCACAGUAAGAGCUUGCUCUUACGGGUGGCGAGUGGCGGACGGGUGAGGAAUAUAUCGGAAUCUACUUUUUCGGGGGGGAUAACGUAGGGAAACUUACGCUAAUACAGCAUACGACCUACGGGUGAAAGCAGGGGAUCUUCGGACCUUGCGCGAUUGAAUGAGCCGAUGUCGGAUUAGCUAGUUGGCGGGGUAAAGGCCCACCAAGGCGACGAUCCGUAGCUGGUCUGAGAGGAUGAUCAGCCACACUGGAACUGAGACAGGGUCCAGACUCCUACGGGAGGCAGCAGUGGGGAAUAUUGGACAAUGGGCGCAAGCAUGAUCCAGCCAUACCGCGUGGGUGAAGAAGGCCUUCGGGUUGUAAAGCCCUUUUGUUGGGAAAGAACAGCAGCAGGUUAAUACCCCGCUGUUCUGACGGUACCCAAAGAAUAAGCACCGGCUAACUUCGUG
rnacentral:rRNA from 1 species